rnacentral:rRNA from 1 species
CCCGGCACAAGCGGUGGAGCAUGUGGUUUAAUUCGAUGAUACGCGAGGAACCUUACCUGGGCUCAAAUGUAUGUUGACGUAUUCUGAAAGGGAUACUUCUUCGGACAAUAUACAAGGUGCUGCAUGGUUGUCGUCAGCUCGUGCCGUGAGGUGUCGGGUUAAGUCCCAUAACGAGCGCAACCCCUAUCAUUAGUUGCCAUCAGGUCAAGCUGGGGACUCUAAUGAAACUGCCUACGCAAGUAGUGAGGAAGGUGGGGAUGACGUCAAAUCAGCACGGCCCUUACGUCCAGGGCUACACACGUGCUACAAUGGCCGGUACAAUGGGCUGCGAUACCGUGAGGUGGAGCGAAUCCCAAAAAGCCGGUCUCAGUUCGGAUCGGGGUCUGCAACCCGACUCCGUGAAGUUGGAUUCGCUAGUAAUCGCGCAUCAGCCAUGGCGCGGUGAAUACGUUCCCGGGCCUU